rnacentral:lncRNA from 8 species
AUCAGUGAUAUCUGUUUCCAGUUGACCCCAUGACAGUCAUUGUCUCGUCAUCAUGAGAUCACACCACCUCUUCCUCCUGAUCUACCUCACAGCUCUCUGCUGCUACUGGGGAACAUCAGAUGCACAACGAAAUGAGACCUGCCAUACACAAGAACUGUGUACUCAGGCUGGUGAUCCUACCUCUAACUUCCUCCAGUGUGUGGGUCUGCCAGCUACAGACACAGGGAGAGACCACCUGCAGAACCUGAAGGACACCAUCGAUGCAGCCCUGGAUGUCUACUCCUUCAUGAGAUCCAGUCUAUCCCAGACCCCAGUGUUAGGACUAGAGCUGGGUAUCAAUGUGAACCCAGAGGCAGAAGCCUACCAAGAUGAGGACCUGAUAAAGGUGUGGAUGGAGGUGAAGCUGAAACCACUCCUCUCCAGCAUCUCCAGAGGGUUCCUAACCUGCCUCAGCAACAAGAACUUCAGCUGCAACACCUACCAGACCAUGUACUGACAUUACUAUAUAUAAUAUAACCUACCAGACCAUGUUAUAAUAUCACCUACCAGACCAUGUUAUAACAUUACUAUAUAUAAUAUAACCUACCAGACCAUGUACUGACAUUACUAUAUAUAAUAUAACCUACCAGACCAUGUUAUAAUAUCACCUACCAGACCAUGUUAUAACAUUACUAUAUAUAAUAUAACCUACCAGACCAUGUACUGACAUUACUAUAUAUAAUAUAACCUACCAGACCAUGUUAUAAUAUCACCUACCAGACCAUGUUAUAACAUUACUAUAUAUAAUAUAAUAUCACCUACCAGACCAUGUUAUAACAUUACUAUAUAUAAUAUAAUAUCAUCUACCAGACCAUGUUAUAACAUUACUAUAUAUAAUAUAAUAUCACCUACCAGACCAUGUUAUAACAUUACUAUAUAUAAUAUAAU